rnacentral:rRNA from 1 species
GAUCCUGACUCAGGAUGAACGCUAGCUACAGGCUUAACACAUGCAAGUCGAGGGGCAGCAUCAUCAAAGCUUGCUUUGAUGGAUGGCGACCGGCGCACGGGUGAGUAACACGUAUCCAACCUGCCGACAACACUGGGAUAGCCUUUCGAAAGAAAGAUUAAUACCGGAUGGCAUAGUUUUCCCGCAUGGGAUAAUUGUUAAAGAAUUUCGGUUGUCGAUGGGGAUGCGUUCCAUUAGG